UAUACACACAAUGCCAGAAUUAAAAUUGUUUCAGUAGAAUCCUUCAAUUGUAUUCUGUAUGAUAUAAGCUCUUGGGAAUUGUAACAAUAUCAAAUUGACCAAAUGCAAUUUUUAUUAUUGUAAUUUGAUUACAUUGACAACCGUAAUUGUUUCAAUACAUAGCAGUUAUAAAUCCUCCCAACAAAUCGCAACCGUGUAACUUAGAUAUAAUGUUACACAAGUGUCAGAAAUGGUACAUGUAAUAUUAAUUUGUAAUGAUAAAUAUAAUGUACUAGUAUGAUUCUAUGUCAACAACUUUGAAUAUAAUAUUUGUAUAUCGGAAAUAUAUCAAUAAUAUAUUACCGUAAUGUAAUACAUAAACGUCCUUUAUAUAUAUUUUAUAUGUAAAAAAGACGUUUAUAUGUAAAAAAGACAACAGUGUUGUUAACUUUGAUGGACUACAUUUUCUUAUUUUCAGCGUUAAAGUAGGUACAAUAGUGAUAAAAAUUGAUGCUAUGAUAACAUUUAAUUUUGAAUCGAUUGUGAGCAAUUUGCAGAGCUGUAUUCGGGGAGACAUUAGAGCUAUUUGAGUCAUUCCAUCUAUAUUGUUUAUUAGAUGUAAAACAAGGAUAGGAUGACACUAAAAACGCUAAUAGCAUUUCGCUGAAUGUACCCCUGACGACUGGAAGUUGAAUAAAUUCAAUUACAUAUAUGUAUAAUCUAAUAUACAUUUGAAUAUGGCCGCAUCUGGUAUGAUCUGAUAUCUGCGGCGCAGAUUCUACACAGAGUUGUACGAAAAUCUCAAGAAUGAGCUGAAUGAGCAGUAUUUGGCUGCACUUGGUUUUUUCCAACAUGGACGCGACCUUUUACUAAUAUUUAUCUUUUCUGUAUCUUUCAUUAUUUUUUAUUAUUAUAACAAGCCAUUGUGAGUCAGCCUCGUGUAGAAACAUAAUGGUAAACAUUUUUAUUAAUCCUUCACACCGGAGUCAAAAUGACCCUAGAGCGUAUUUAACCUAUUAUCAUAUUCAUAGUUAUCGUUUUGAAGACAAAAAAAAUUUAUGUUAAGUGCGCUCCGAGGUCAUUCUGAUCCCUAUGUGAUUAUUACAACAUUAGUUCAACUUUUAAAGAGAUAUGAUUAUGAAAGGUUAAAAUAAAAUGAGUAUAGCGCCUUAA